AUCGGAACGUACCUAGUAAUGGGGAAUAACUAGCUGAAAGGUUAGCUAAUGCCGCAUACGACCUACGGGUGAAAGCAGGGGAUCUUCGGACCUUGCGUUAUUAGAGCGGCCGAUAUCUGAUUAGCUUGUUGGUGGGGUAAUGGCCUACCAAGGCAACGAUCAGUAGCUGGUCUGAGAGGACGAUCAGCCACACUGGAACUGAGACACGGUCCAGACUCCUACGGGAGGCAGCAGUGGGGAAUUUUGGACAAUGGGGGCAACCCUGAUCCAGCCAUUCCGCGUGAGUGAAGAAGGCCUUCGGGUUGUAAAGCUCUUUCGCAAGAGAAGAAAACUUGCUAUCUAAUAAAUAGUAAGCAUGA
rnacentral:rRNA from 1 species